rnacentral:ncRNA from 1 species
GAGGAUCGAGGAGGCGACGACCCGCGACCGGCGCAGACGGUCACCGAUCCCCCGACGGGGGAACGGUCGCGGCGAGCCAGUGGUGAGACCGCCCUCGGUCGUG